UACAGAGGUCUCAAGCGUUGUCCGGAUUUACUGGGCGUAAAGGGCGCGUAGGCGGUCAGCACAAGUCAGUUGUGAAAUCUCCGGGCUUAACUCGGAAAGGUCAACUGAUACUGUGCGACUAGAGUGCGGAAGGGGGCAACUGGAAUUCUCGGUGUAGCGGUGAAAUGCGUAGAUAUCGUAAGGAAGACCAGUGGCGAAGGCGAGUCUCUGGACAGUUACUGACGCUGAGGCACGAAGGCCGGGGGGAGCAAACGGG
rnacentral:rRNA from 1 species